UAUUGGUGGUAAUCUAGUCACUUGAGCAAAAUGUGAUAGUAAUAUCCAGUGCAAAAGCGAAAUAUAAAGCCAUGACACAGGUAUCUGCGAGCUAUUGUGGUUACGAAAAUUGAUGGAGGAAAUGAAGUUAUUAUAAACAAACAACUGUUAUCAAUAUAGUGCAUAAUCCAGUCCAGCAUGAUCGAAUCGAUUGACACUUCAUAAAGGAGAAA
rnacentral:misc_RNA from 1 species